rnacentral:rRNA from 1 species
CGGACGGGUGAGUAACGCGUGAGCAACCUGCCCUUCGGAGGGGGAUAGUGUCUGGAAACGGACAGUAAUACCGCAUAACGUAUUGAUACCGCAUGAUAUUGAUACCAGAACUGAGGUGCCGAAGGAUGGGCUCGCGUUGGAUUAGAUAGUUGGUGGGGUAACGGCCUACCAAGUCGACGAUCCAUAGCCGGACUGAGAGGUUGAACGGCCACAUUGGGACUGAGACACGGCCCAGACUCCUACGGAAGGCAGCAG